rnacentral:rRNA from 1 species
ACAUAAUUUAUUUCUUAAAUAUUCAUUUUAAUUGUCUUAAAUAUAAUUACUAUUAAGUCCUUAAAUAAAUUUUAAUUAUAUUAAUUAACAUAUUUACUUAUUGUAAUUCAUACUUUUUUAAAUAUAAAUUGCACCUUGAUCUAAUUUUUAACAAUUGAUAUUUUUAAUAUUUUAUUAUUAAAACUUAUAAAAAUGAUGGUAUACAAACUAAUUUAAUUUAAAUCAAAUAACUCGUGGAUUGUCGAUUAUAAGCACAAAUUCCCCUAAUAAGUUUUAAAUUACCGUCAAGUUUUUUAAGUUUUG